CUCAAGGAUGAGUGGAAGAGAUUUACCCAUGGUCAUUGGUCUUGGAUGGUGACAUGCAACCAUACAGCCAGGGAAGGAAUAGCCUAAGUGAGACUGACUGAGUGGAACUGCUGUGGAGAGUGUCAGUGCUAAUCCAAGCAGAGGGAUACCUGGCACACAUCACUGCCCAUCAGGGCUUUGCUGCUCCCAGGGAAAGCAAUCACAGUAUUGAUUAGCUGAAGAGGCUUCCUAUUGGUAUUUAAACUAGGUGGAAGAAGUG